rnacentral:rRNA from 1 species
AUCCUGGCUCAGGAUGAACGCUAGCGGCAGGCCUAAUACAUGCAAGUCGAACGGUAGAUUUGGUAGCAAUACUGAAUUGAGAGUGACGUAAGGGUGCGUAACACGUAUGCAAUCUGCCCUCAACAGGAGUAUAGCUCGGGGAAACUCGGAUUAACCCUCCAUAAGAUCUUAGGGUGGCAUCACCUAGAGAUUAAAAACUUCGGUGGUUGAGGAUGAGCAUGCGCAUGAUUAGUUAGUUGGAGGUGUAACGGACCCCCAAGACGAUGAUCAUUAGGGGAACUGAGAGGUUGAUCCCCCACACUGGCACUGAGAUACGGGCCAGACUCCUACGGGAGGCAGCAGUAGGGAAUAUUGGUCAAUGGGUGAGAGCCUGAACCAGCCAUGCCGCGUGCAGGAAGACGGCCUUCUGGGUUGUAAACUGCUUUUAUCUGGGGAUAAAAAGACCGUGCGCGGUUAAUUGAAGGUACCAGAUGAAUAAGCACCGGCUAACUACGUG